GAUCCUUUGAGACCCGCAGUUCUAGAUUUGCUACAGCUUUCCUCACCUUCUAGAGUUUGUACAAGAAUAAAGAUGCAUUGAGGCAUUUGUUCAUCAGCAAGGAUUGGUCAAAAUCAAAGUUGUCGGCUAUUGAAGCGGGGAAGAAAGUAUGUGAUACUGUUAUUUCAACACCAUUUUGGCAUACUGUUGAAGUUUGCAUUAGGGCGUCACAACCAAUUCUUAUAGUCUUGAAGAUUGUUGAUAGUGAUAAGAAGCCUGCUAUGCCGAAAGCUAUUGCUGCGAUGGAAUGUGCGAAGAAAAAAAAUCAAAGAUGCAUUUGAUAACAAACGAUGGAAAAUCAAAUGUCUUUUACAUUUGAGUUUGUAAGUACUUUCUAUCGUUAGUUCAAAUUUCAAAAGUAAUAAAUCAUUGACUAUUAUUAAAAUUUUAUCAUUAAUAUUAUUAUUUUUUUGUUCUAUUUAUUUUAGAUUCAUACAAAGAUGAGGAAUAGAUUGGAACACAAACGAUUGAGUGACUUGGUGUAUGUCCAAUACAAUCGAAAGAUCGACUCAAGGUUCCAAAAGAGGCGUGAACUUGGCAAUAAUUUUGAUCCAUUAGUCAUUGAUGACUUUGAAUGGGGUAAUGAAUGGAUCGAUAAUGAUGUCGAUGUUCUUCGUCUCGGGGGAUCUUACAUGGAAUGAUGUGGAUCGAGCAACCGGUGCCAUCCAACACGCUUGAGGGUCGCAAUCUUUCAAGGAGGGCUCGUGCUAAAACUAGUAAUAAUCUCAUGACGUACUCUUGACGUGGUGGUGGUUCAACUUCAAGGGAAUCAAGGUUGAUGGAUUCCGACUCCGAUAAUGAAGUUGAUGAAGAAGAGAGAAUUCCAAAUGAUGAUGAAGAUGUGGAGGAUGAUUUUGGAGAAAAACCACCACCUACGCUUUUGAAUGAGAGUAGUUCUCGUGGAAGAGAUGGAGAUGACCUUUUCUAUGAUGAUUUUGAUUGAACGAUGUUUCUAGACUAGUGUAGAGAGUCUAGACAUUAUUUUGGCUUGCUAUGGUGGUGUUUUAUUAGUUAUUAGACUACAUAUUUGUGAUGGUUGGUUGUAACUUUAUUUUCUAUGCGG
rnacentral:lncRNA from 1 species